rnacentral:rRNA from 1 species
AGAGAACUUAGCAGAGAUGCUUUGGUGCCUUCGGGAACUCUGAGACAGGUGCUGCAUGGCUGUCGUCAGCUCGUGUUGUGAAAUGUUGGGUUAAGUCCCGNAACGAGCGCAACCCUUAUCCUUUGUUGCCAGCGGUUCGGCCGGGAACUCAAAGGAGACUGCCGGUGAUAAACCGGAGGAAGGUGGGGAUGACGUCAAGUCAUCAUGGCCCUUACGGCCAGGGCUACACACGUGCUACAAUGGCGCAUACAAAGAGAAGCGACCUCGCGAGAGCAAGCGGACCUCAUAAAAGUGCGUCGUAGUCCGGAUUGGAGUCUGCAACUCGACUCCAUGAAGUCGGAAUCGCUAGUAAUCGUAGAUCAGAAUGCUACGGUGAAUACGUUCCCGGGCCUUGUACACACCGCCCGUCACACCAUGGGAGUGGGUUGCAAAAGAAGUAGGUAGCUUAACCUUCGGGAGGGCGCUUACCACUUUGUGAUUCAUGACUGGGGUGAAGUCGUAACAAGGUAGGCGUAGCGAG